AGAACGACUCUCGGCAACGGAUAUCUCGGCUCUCGCAUCGAUGAAGAACGUAGCGAAAUGCGAUACUUGGUGUGAAUUGCAGAAUCCCGUGAACCAUCGAGUCUUUGAACGCAAGUUGCGCCCUAAGCCAUUUGGCCGAGGGCACGUCUGCCUGGGCGUCAAUC
rnacentral:rRNA from 1 species